UGUAAAUAUCCUACACACUUCUCAAACCAAAUCCUCCACAUUGUAAAUCCAAAACACAAUAACAACAAAACUCCCACAACCACAUCAAGAAACUAGCUACUCAUCAAUCUCUCACAAAAAAAGUUUCAGCUAUUUUCCACCAUUUCAUGCCAAGAUUCAAUCUUUCAACAUCCCAUCUCUUCCAAUGUCCAAGAACACUCCUAAAACUGAAGAAGACAAUGGAUUUGACCCUGACCCAACAAAAAUCAAACUGUACACGUCAGCUUCCGCUUCGUCCGCCCUCUAUUCAGCAUUCUCCUCCUCAUAGUCUUCGCCGCCACCGUCAGCUUUCACGCCGACGUCAACCUCAGCCUUAGCGCGUGGUCCCCGCAGUAGAAAACCCAUGUCCUCAACUUCAACUCCAUGCUCCUCAAAUACGCGUCCAUCGACAUCUCCAAGCCACGCGCCAAGCAAGAGAUAGAGUAAUUGCUAGAGGGCAACUUCGUGAGCCAAGGCCAGUACCAAACCUUCGCCUCGUGGCGGAGAUUUGACACCCACCAAGACCUCAGAGCAAGAUCCUCUAACAGUAUAUCGGUCUUGCUUUGUUCGCCGUGGUUUUAUCGGUAUUGGCAGCAGUUCCGAAUUGGGUUUUCAUCACUUAAAUUGGUCACACCGCGGUCAACAUCGGCAAAUCGAAGGUGGUCGUGUUCGGUGGACUUGUUGACAAGAAAUUUCUCAGCGAUGUCGUGGUCUCCGAUAUUGGAAGAAAAUGAAACACCUGGAUGGACCCAGUUGAAGCUUCCAGGUGAAGCUCCUUCUCGCUGUGGUCAUACUAUGACCUCUGGAGGGCACUAUGUUACGACAUCUUCAGCAGGACAGCAGCCUUUAUAUUCUCCUUGUUGAUUUCUGUUCUUGUGUUGUUGUGUCAGUGCUGAAACUUUUUUCCUUACAGUUCCUUAAACGUUACUGCUAAAAUUUUUUCUUUGCAGCUUUUGUUAUUUGGAGCGCAUGGGACUGGUGGUUGGUUGAUUUAUUAUGACAUUUAUUACAAUGACUGCAUUGUUUUAGAUCGGGUGUAUGCACAAUGGAAGCGCUUACUGGCUGGCAACGAGCCCCCUGCUGCUCGGGCAUACCACUCUAUGACAUCUAUUGGUUCACGUCAUCUAUUAAUUGGUGGGUUUGAUGGCAAAUCAACCUUUGGUAAUCUGUGGUGGUUGGUCCCAGAAGGUCCUGGUUUGCUUUGAAAUACUUAAUAAAUAUUGAGUCAUUUAGCUGUUGUUGGAUAAAUGAUACCUUUUUUCUUUUCAGAUUUUCACUUGGAUAAUUUCUAAACAUCCAAAUCGUUAAUUUGAUUCUUGUAUGACAAAAUCUUCUUGAUGAUACAUCAGUUUGUCUCAAACAUAUCUUUUGUUUGGAGCAUUUACAGAAUGUUGUAUGUAAUAUCAUUUCCUCUAUAGAUUACAUUCA